UACGGAGGAUGCAAGCGUUAUCCGGAUUUAUUGGGUUUAAAGGGUGCGCAGGUUGUUUGAUAAGUCAGUGGUGAAAGUCUGUCGCUUAACGGUAGGAUUGCCAUUGAUACUGUUGGACUUGAAUAUGGAUGAGGUGGGCGGAAUGUGUAGUGUAGCGGUGAAAUGCAUAGAUAUUACACAGAACACCGAUUGCGAAGGCAGCUUACUAAUCCAUCAUUGACGCUGAGGCACGAAAGCGUGGGGAUCAAACAGGA
rnacentral:rRNA from 1 species